UACGAAGGGGGCUAGCGUUGCUCGGAAUUACUGGGCGUAAAGCGCACGUAGGCGGAUUGUUAAGUCAGGGGUGAAAUCCUGGAGCUCAACUCCAGAACUGCCUUUGAUACUGGGGAUCUCGAGUCCGGAAGAGGUGAGUGGAACUCCGAGUGUAGAGGUGAAAUUCGUAGAUAUUCGGAAGAACACCAGUGGCGAAGGCGGCUCACUGGUCCGGUACUGACGCUGAGGUGCGAAAGCGUGGGGAGCAAACAGG
rnacentral:rRNA from 1 species